GUCACACGCAUCUGUGCCCUCGGGCAAAUCAAUCACCAACUGCUCUCUACUAUAGCGACGUCCUCUCACAAAGCUACCAUCAGCAGGGCUGUGCAGAUAACACAAAAGUCAUACGAAGGAAGGUGCUUCUUACUUUCCACCCGGCACAGGAAUGACGAUCCCUUGACCGUGCACAGCCUGCUGGCCAGGCUUGAAGUAGUAAAGAAAGGUGUCUGUAUAUAGAGGUCAAAUAAAUGCAUGCAUGAUAUUUCACUUUGGACUUUAUUUAUACAUAGCCAUUUGUAAUACUUGCAUUUGCAAAAGUAAAACUGUUUAUGUUGGCACAGGUUUAUGAGGCACAGCUGCCAUAUGCACUGGUCAAUUUCCAUGCAAUUAACAUGUCAAGCUGCUUAGCAAAAUAGCAUAUGGUCAGCCAGUGCGGGUGUGCUCAAUCUUCCAUGUAACGUGUUAAAAGUUGCCAGAUCAGGAGAUACGGCCAUGUAUGCAUGCUGCAACGCCAAGUGCACUGUAAAAUACUGUGUAUGAAAAUUCUUGUCCAAAUUACCGAUAAUAAUGUCCAACCAAUAAUGGCCUAUAUACCGUAUAGCGGGUAUUAUUUCGAGGGUAUAAAUUUUCGCGGAAAUGCCUUUAGAAAGGUUUUCACAGAUUUAAUUUUCGUGGAAUAGCAGCCUUUUUACAGCAUGCAUGCAUGCAUGCGAUAUUAAAUUCGCGAUUAUAAAUGUUCGCGGUACAUGUAUAUACCCUCAAAAUAUACACGCUAUACGGUAGCUAAAAGUAUUUUGUGCACUGCAUGCAAGCUCAAUUCUCAUUAUAAAACCGUAUACAAAACAAAACACAGUGUUGCAAAAAUACAACAUUUUUCAUUUUUAUUUUAAACACAAUAAUACUUCCAUAUAUAUAUACACACAACUCGCAGUGGACUAUUAGUGCUAUAAUUAUAUACAUCCAAGGCAUGAUCUUUGCUAUGCAUUCUGAUCCAUGCUCUGAUCUUUGCUAUGAUCUUUGUUAUGAUCGUUGUUAUGCAUGCAUCAUGCAUGAUCUUUGCUUAGCCUCGAUCCCAGGCCGAGUUUUUGCUUUUAUAACGGUUAGGCGAACAACUAGGCCUGGUACUAGUUGUCUGCGCAUGCGUCAGUCGUUCGUCAGAUUCUGACGAAUGGAUAUUCUCGUUCACUUUCGUGACAACUAUCGUGUACUAGAAGUCAGUUCCCGUUUUAUCAUUAUUGGAAUCAAUUGGAAUGGCUCUUAGUUGAAGCUUCUCUCUUCUCUGAAGCUUAGAAAACAUUAUUCUGAAGACUGAACAACAAGGGAAGAGGUAUAGAAGCUUUGUCAAGCUUGUUAAGGUCAGAUAUUUUUGUGUGGGCCCUAUAUGCUAUCAAGUCUUGUUCAUGUUUGGCAAGAUCUAGGUAGACUAUAGUUUCAUCAUUAAUAUGGUGGAUCAAGUAAAGAGUGUGAGCUAGAGAACUUGGUGCUGCCAUCCUCAGCUUGUCGACAAUGACACUAUAACCUGUUUAAUACGAGAAAUUUAAUAUGUAUAGAUCUACACGUACUUCUCUGUACAGGAGCAAUGGCUAAUAUCCAGCUAUCCCAACAGUGCUCCUCUUGGCUAUACUAACGGACGAGACUGGACAGUUUGAGGACUGGAGUAUGCAUGACCUGCUCGUUCGAGCGUUGCUGGGUACCUCAGAGGCAUCAAGAGAAUCUACGUUUUCUUAAGCAAAAUUUAACUGAGUUACGAGUUGGGGCCUAGAAUCAGAGAAGUCCAGCAGCCUGCUAAAUAUUUUUGAAAUGUAAUUUGAAGGCAUUUAAUCAUCCUAAAGUUGCCCUGGGUCACUGUAAUCGUGCUGCAGCACAACUGGCAACUCCCCAGGCCCUUGUGAAGCAGCUCCCUAUGUGCAUCUUUUGUGUACUCACUCCGUGCAUUUUCUGUGUACAAAUUUCGAUUUAUUAAAUAAUUAUUUUUG